GACGAACGCUGGCGGCGUGCUUAACACAUGCAAGUCGAACGAAGUGGCGAACGGGUGAGUAACGCGUAAUCAACCUGCCCUUCAGAGGGUGACAACAGUUGGAAACGACUGCUAAUACCGCAUACUGAAGGAGGGGAUUGCGUCUGAUUAGCUAGUUGGGGGGGUAACCGCCCACCAAGGCGAUGAUCAGUAGCCGGUCUGAGAGGGUGAACGGCCACAUUGGGAAUGGGGCACGGCCCAGGCUCCUACGGGAGGCAGCAGGGGGGAAUCUUCCGAAAUGGAGGAAAGGCUGGCGGAGCAACGCCGGGUUAGGGAUGACGGCCUUCGGGUUGUAAAGCUCUGUUAAGCGGGACGCGGUACCGGAAGAGAAAGCCACGGCUAACUACGUGCCAGCAGCCGCGGUAAUAC
rnacentral:rRNA from 1 species